AUGUCGCUCUUCAGGGCUUCUACCACCAUCUCCUUGGGCAAUGGGAGAAAAUCCUUAUUCUGGCACGACGACUGGACAGGACGGGGCCCGCUGUCCUGGGCCUUCCCGGAGCUGUACGAAAUUGCCACCAGGAAGAGGAGAACUGUGAUGAAGGAGCUCCAUGAGGAGAACUGGAUCAGAUCGGCGGCCCGUCUUUCAUCGCCUACCCACCUGCAGGAGUUCAUUGCCCUCGCAUCAGCUAUCUCUCAGGUUGAGUUGAACCCGGACCAGGAGGACUCCAUCACUUGGCGGUGGACCCCCAAUGGCAUAUACUCUGCUGCUUCGGCCUACGCGGCCCAGUUCUCUGCAUCCUAUCCCAGGUUCUCCCCAGCCAAGAUUUGGGAGGCACACGCUGAGCCAAAAUGCAAGUUCUUUGCCUGGCUUGUGCUCCACGGUAAAAUCCUCACGGCCGACAUGCUAGCCGUUCGUGGCUGGCCGCACGACCCUCGCUGCCCCCUUUGCCUUGGGGCACCGGAGACGGCCACUCAUCACUGCAAGGACUGCCCGUUUGCCGCCGCAGUUUGGUCUCACGUCCAGGUGUGGACGGGAGAGGAUUCUGGGGCCACGCCCACGUUGCCCCCUUCGAUGGGGAUUUCGGACUGGUGGGAUUUGUUCACCACCAAUUUUCCCAAGGACGAUCGAGGAAGGCGGAGCGGCCACUUCCUUUACACCAUCUAG
rnacentral:rRNA from 1 species